rnacentral:rRNA from 1 species
GAGGGGGUUUUGCCCAUAGUAACGCACGAGUGAGCGGCAAUAGCUCAAAUUUGAAAGCUGGCCUUCGGGUCCGCAUUGUAAUUUGUAGAGGAUGCUUUGGGGCAGCCGCCUGUCUAAGUUCCUUGGAACAGGACGUCAUAGAGGGUGAGAAUCCCGUAUGUGACAGGACAUGGCACCCUAUGUAAAGCUCCUUCGACGAGUCGAGUUGUUUGGGAAUGCAGCUCUAAAUGGGAGGUAAAUUUCUUCUAAAGCUAAAUACUGGCGAGAGACCGAUAGCGCACAAGUAGAGUGAUCGAAAGAUGAAAAGCACUUUGGAAAGAGAGUUAAAAAGCACGUGAAAUUGUUGAAAGGGAAGCGCUUGCAAUCAGACUUGUUCUGACUGUUCGGCCGGUCUUCUGACCGGUUUAUUCAGUCUGGGCAGGCCAGCAUCAGUUUCGGCGGUCGGAUAAAGGCCUUGGGAAUGUGGCUCUGCCUUCGGGUAGAGUGUUAUAGCCCAGGGUGUAAUACGGCCAGCCGGGACUGAGGUCCGCGCUUCGGCUAGGAUGCUGGCGUAAUGGUUGUAAGCGACCCGUCUUGAACCCACGGACACAA